UAUCUUUGGGUCAAUAUAUCUCUUUACAGUUUCUUAAAAGUUGAACAAAGCUGGUUGAGUUUUGCACUGGUUUGGUGCUAUGGAUUAUGAUAGAGGAGACACGGGGAGCCAAAAUGCAGGACAAUGCGAAAAGAAUGGAAACUUUACAGGGAGGGUUUGUCUGAAUGUUGGGUGUCAAAAUCAUCGAGCAAAUGAAUUGCUCCAGGUUGGUUCUGAGACCUGUGUUGUGUGCAGAAUGCCCUGAUCCAAGUGGUGAGCCCUAUGAAGGGGAGGAGGGAGACUGGAGCUUAAGGGGGGCUGCUGCAAGGCUGCAUCUCUUCCAGCUGACAGCCACUUCUAGCUGUGUUUGUCACAAUGCCAGUCACAAAUCUCCCAGAAAUUCUGGAAGUGCCCAUGCAACAACUUUGCCCUCCUGUCUGAGUUACACAGUCUUAAUGUGUUGUUUCAUGAUUGGUAUCUUCUGGAGUAUCUCAUUCGUCAUUCUUGAGGUAAACAAAUUAUUAGGAGGUGUAUUACAGCAGUAAUGCUUUUUGCAAAGCUUGGAGCAUUACUGAUUUAGCUGUGGCAGAGACAUUCAGUGAAAAUCACUGCGAGGCUGUGCCUUUUCUUAGAGCAAGAAAUCACUCAGCUGACUCUAUUAUAAAACAUUCAAUAGUUAUUAAGUGGUUUUCCAGUAAUUUUUCAGUGCUUAGCAGAAAACAUUAUCAUAACUGAUAUACACUAAUUUUCUGUUGUUUAUAUGUGUAUGUAGUGUAACCUCCAUUAAAAUGCCAUUACAUUUGUGGAAAAGAUUCUGUAGAAAUGACCUGGUGGUCUUCCAAAUUUAUUCUUUCAGUGACUCCGGAUCAAAUUUGCCUACUUUAAACAAUACAUUUUAAAAUUGACAGUGUUGUGGAUUCCACCUGGGAUCAAGUUGUGUUAUUUCUGUGUCGCACUAAUGAUGAAGAUGAUUUAAUUACUUAGCUGACAAUGUUAUUAAUGAUGAGCAUGAGAGAAGAGAGUUGGGCCUUGGUGCCUUAGUCCCAUUUCAGGACUUGUCGUAACUGUAGGAUGUUAACAGAGGGAAAAUCUAUGUUGGUUAGUCAGGUAAGAAGAUACAUCUGGAUGACAAAGACCAUGUUUAGUUGAAGGUGCCAUAAUGAAGUUUUUCUAAUCAUUGUGAUAUUUUAAGGCUAACGAGUGUUUAGCAUCUUAAAUUACUAAAAAGCUCACUUCAUUGGUGAUUGUCUUCUGUUUUCUUCAACUUUGACUCUGGAGAACUUCUGUAAGAGUAACCUGAAACCAUAAAACCCAUUGCAGAUUUUUUUUUGUGUUACUGUUGGACGUUGCCCAGGAUCCACCAGAAUGUGCUUCACUCAUCACUGCUCUAUCAGCCCUCUUCUUGUUUCCAUCAGUCCAGAAUUCAUUUACUGUCCAUUUUGUGGCUUCCCCAGAAGUAAUAGGUCUGUCUGCAUUCAAAUAUUUUGCAUAUACAGCUUUGUCAGCUAAGAGCACAGGAAGAGAAGAAAAAUACCACUAAUUAAGCCAGCAGUUCUGGUGAAUGUUCCUAUACCGGGAAAAGCUCUAUUGAGAGAUACAACUUAAGUCACUUGGAUAGCUGAUAUAAACAUUGCUAGCAAAAAAACUUCCUGCCAAUAGACACCACGUUUCCACUAGGGGAGUUUGUAGUGCGAGCUACAUCAGUGAAUACUUCGUCCUACAGAGAAGGCCCUUUUCAGAAGGUGAAAGUACUGCGAUGCUAAAAGCUUGGGUUCAUCUGAGCACCUGAGGCUGGUGUUUUGCUGUGGGGAGAGCGGUGGCUCUGAAAAAUCACUGUGGGGAUAGGGACAAAAUGUGGUUAUAUUCUGGUCUGCUUUGUGGUCCACCAUAACCCAUCUUGGUGACCUUCCUGCUGGUGCUGCUAUAUGUUUGUUUGAUGCAAAACUUGAAACCUGGCAGUCAAAUGCACGGUGGGUCAGAGGUAAUAGUCUUCCCACAGAGCACACAGCAGAACCAGGUAAAGUGGCAUUGGGCUUCAUGUCCCCACUCUUCAGUCAGGCAGCAAUGGGUGUCAUCAGUUGUUUGUACAAACAGAAAAAAUUCUCAUCAGAAAUAAUUACCUUCUCUCUGUCCUGGGACAGUCUGGAGUUUCUCAUUAUUGCUGUUACUAUACUGUGAACUGGAUGGCAGUAAGUGGAGUGAGGCCACACUAGAAACAAGAAUGCAUGGCCUUCAUUUUUAAAAACGCCAGUGAUCCAAACAAAGUGGGAAUAAGGUGCAGAAGAAUGAAAGCUCCCAUUCACUGGAGCUUUUGUAGCUUUACGAGGGAAAUGUGUCUUAACGUGAGCUUCAUUUGAGGGGAAUGCACACAUGGAUUAAGCUAUUAAUUAUAAUCAAAUUAAAGGAAAAUGUUAUUAGAUGUUUUAAACAAUCCCUGGCAGGGCUACUGCUAUCACAGUUAAUGUCCUGAAUGAAAAAAGAAGUGAAACCGUAGUUUUCACUCUUUAUCUGCUUUUGUGUGUAUGUGUUUUACUCAGCUUAGUGUAUGAAUUUACUAGCCUUGUCUGGUUCACUUUCCUUUAUGGGCAGUGCAAUGUUCUGGUUUUCAUACACUAUAAAAGUAGUGAUGCCACAAAAUUACAAGGGAAAUGCUUCGGUCCCUCAGUAUAGAUAUAAUUAAAUCCAACUAAACUAUUUUCAUUGCCUGAGAUGAGGAAUCUUAAAUAAAAUAAACAAGCCACUCAGCUAAUAACAUAAAGAUCAUUUUUAGCGCCAUAUUAUCAGACCAUUGAUGAGAAUUUUCAGUUAUGUAUUAUGUUAUGUAAAUUCAAACCUUUUCUUUAACAAAGCAUACAGUCAUUUUCGUGUGAUAUAAUGUCUACAACCAACUGUACCUAACAGGACUGUAAUCCUGUUGAGCUGCUGUAAUGGCACGAACCGCAAAAGCAAAACCUGAGUGGUUUAUCAAUGUCAGCAAACUCCCAGAUGGAAUUACAGUCUUAUGCACACUGUUCAGUUGUAUGCUAUUCAUUAUAACAUAUGACAAAAAUUAUGCUUCUAUUAAAAAUACACAGAUGAGAAUAUGUGUUGUUGAAGGGGGCUUGUUUAAACAGCAGAAAUAAUCCGCUGGUGCAAAGCAGAAUCAUUUUCAGUGCAGGAUGUGGCCUGCUGCACAGUACCUUUUUGGGCAUAUUUACAGGACGAUGGGGAUUGAUUUGAACUCUGAAAGAAAUAUAGUACUUCAGGCUCAGUAGCAUGUUUCUGGUUAUGAUUCUUCAGCUGCAAUUUUCUUCUGUUAUCUGCCUCAGGGAAAUCUGGCCAUCUCUGAAGAAAGUACGAGCUGGAGCACAGCACUGGGAUUCAUGGGAAUCACCAGCCAGGGAAGUCCAUUUGGGAUAUGUCAGGACUUCCUAACAGCGAGGCAACACUUGUAGGAUGUAUUAAGGAUCAUUAUUUUGUAAAAAUUCAAAAGUUCUAUUUGCUAUCCAUGCAGUCAUGUUUGUCAUCUUUUAAUAAAAGCCCCGGCGUGAAGUUCCUGACUUGAAAUUACAACUGGAGAGUGGAGUGAUGAGAGAAGCGUGGAGUUUAACUGUAGAAAGUAAAGGUUUUUUCUGAGCUCAGGAACCCCCACAGUAUUUCAAGGUAUCUUCAGUGCCUCUAACACCAGAGGGUUCAUUCUUCUGUAACUGAAGUAAAUGGGCUUGCCAGCAUUUCUGUUAUUUCCAUGCUCAGUGGCUUCCCAAGUAAGCAGGAGGGCUGGCAGCGGCAGCUUAAGCCUCUGACCCCAUGGUGGGGGUCAGCCAUGCUCCAGGACUGUAGGAGAGAUGUCAGCUUUGUGCAUGGCUAUGAGGGUCCCAUAAUUCACUCUAGGGAUGCUAUGAGAUGGGCUCUUCAGUGCCUGGGUUAAAUUCCCGAGUGAUAGGUGAUGGCAGCUGGGCAGAGUCAGCUCCGAUGUGGGGGACAAAUUUCAGCUGCUGCCAAAUGGACAGCAUGGAAACAAGGAUCGUUUGCAAGACAGCAAGAGAUUUUAUGGGCAAAAACUAGGAAAUUAGCUUCAGCUGGGUUGAAAUACUGCCAUUUGGUGAAUCUUGGGUUUUCUUUGUUUUACUAAAGCAGAUUUUGGAGAUGUCAUCCCAGUGGCUCCUGAGAGCUUGUCUUUCACACAUUUUCCUCAUGUAAAUGCCCAAAUUGAAAGCUUUGUUUCAGGCACGCUUAUGGCUAAUGGGACCAAGCACAAAAACAUAAAACUACAAAUGAAAUUUAAAACAGAAUCUGAAUUCGCAGAACGUUACCUGUUUUCCAAGACAAACGCCAGGAGCCUAAAAACAUGAAUGGAAUAGACACAGCCGCCUGCCCUGCUCCCUUCCAGAGCCACUCCGUUCUGCUCCUGUCUGCCUGCAGUGGGGAAUAUGGAUGCUGCCCAAAUGUAUCCGCAUGGUUCCAAUUAAGGGGAGGAAUGUUUAAUGUAAAACUCAACUUGAUGAAAAUAACUGAAGUUUCUGACAAACCAAUAAAUUGGAGUCUAGAAAGCUCUGCGUAUACAGUACAGUCAGGGAGGGGCAACACCCGCUGGGUCAUCAAUUUUGGUGAAGACUUCCUGUUCGUUUAUACUAAAAUAAUACUAGGCACUAGCACAUCAACAGUCGUCGAGAGUUCCCACUCAGAAGACUCAGAUGUUUGCUGUUGGAGAUGUGCUCAUGCAGACAGCUUUCUGUAGGACCUCAGGAGGAUGCGGGAUAGGCUGCAGGAAGGCUGCCACCCAUCCAGGUCUGCUCCUCCCGGCCUGUUGCCUACUGGCAGGUCCAACCUUGAGGUUGUGUUUAAGCUCAAGGUCAGUCCAUAAACCAGAUGGUAUUUCUUACCGCAUGGGGACAGCAGCUAGAAGAUAAUGCAGAAAGAAAACAGACCGUGUUUGUACUUUCUAUUGUUGAAAUACUAUCAACAAGGCUUGUGUAGGGCCUGCUGGCUACAGGAAGUGCAGUGGGAAGUGCAAGGACAGAAGGUCCUGUGACAUUGAACGUGGGAGAGAAUUUUGUGUCCUGUGGACCAAGAAGACAAUGACAGACCUGUGGUCUUGGUUUUUCAGUGGUGAAAAGCCAGAACAUCUCAAGGAUAGACCCACAGAAGAAGGUUUAACACUGAUGUUUACAUGGUCCUCAGGGUACAGAUGUUCUGCUGGGUAUUUCACUCUGACAAGCAGGCAGCAUUUUGUUCUCAUCAGGAUUUCCAAAUGUUUGGGGUAUUGGAGCAGAAGAAACUGUAUCUUUCUAGAGAUUAUUUUUAUGGAAUGUAUUAUGAAAAGAGGUCCUUAGGAAAUAGCAAGUCACCAGAAUGCUUAUUAAAAUGACCUUAAGGUCAGAUUCUGCCACUGUUAAUCACAAUAGUUGUUCCUUACCCUGUGAGCUUUCCCAUUGGAUUCAGUGGGAUUACUCAAGGAAUUUGGAUACUACCUGAUGGGACCAAAGUGGCAGCAAGACUAGCCUUAAUAAUUGUAGCAGCUGUAACACAACAUGCCUUUGUUUUUACCUUACCUUUUAGCUAGUUAAAAAUACGUUGCAUGACAUUUGUUUUCUUUUGAGGAUUCCCUCUUCAAAAAGAUGAAACUUUGUGUAGCAAAUGUAUUCUGUCAUUUUUGUCAUCAGUACUUUAAUAUAUGUAUUUAUUUAUAUUUAUUUAUAUGUAUUUAUUUAUUAGUAUUUUUAUUGUCAUAGUGAAGUCAUCUUUGCUAAGAUACACUUCAGGUUUUGUAUCUCUCUCUCUCUUUUUUAAA